CAAUUUUGACUUGUGACGCGAGAAGGUCGGAUUAAACAUCUGAUCUUAGUGUAAGAAUAGAGGCUAUAAACAUGGUUUUGACUUUUGUGGUGAUGAUUAAGUCAAGAUCUAGUCUAAAAGAGGUUCUUAAGUGGAGAUAGGGCUGUAAAGAGAAAGAGUAGCAGGACGAAACUGCCGGUGAUGAAGAUGGGAGGACUACUCAAGAAACUACUGAGUUGAUGAUAUGCACCCAGUCUGCAAGAUACAUUGGACUAUAGGAGAGUGCGUCCUAUUAGGAUCAUGUGGGAAUUCCCCUUGCAACAUUCCUUCUUCAAGAAACUUCAAUGUUAUUUAGAUUAUUGUGGUGGGACGGAUAUCCAAUGAAAAGUAUGCCUUC